rnacentral:rRNA from 1 species
GAGUUUGAUCUUGGCUCAGGACGAACGCUGGCGGCGUGCCUAAUACAUGCAAGUCGAGCGAAUGGAUGGGAGCUUGCUCCCUGAUAUUAGCGGCGGACGGGUGAGUAACACGUGGGUAACCUGCCUGUAAGAUUGGGAUAACUCCGGGAAACCGGAGCUAAUACCGGAUAACAUUUCGAACCGCAUGGUUUGAAAUUGAAAGAUGGUUUCGGCUAUCACUUACAGAUGGACCCGCGGCGCAUUAGCUAGUUGGUGAGGUAACGGCUCACCAAGGCAACGAUGCGUAGCCGACCUGAGAGGGCGAUCGGCCACACUGGGACUGAGACACGGCCCAGACUCCUACGGGAGGCAGCAGUAGGGAAUCUUCCGCAAUGGACGAAAGUCUGACGGAGCAACGCCGCGUGAACGAUGAAGGCCUUCGGGUCGUAAAGUUCUGUUGUUAGGGAAGAACAAGUACCAGAGUAACUAGCUGGUACCUUGACGGUACCUAACC